UACGUAGGGGGCAAGCGUUGUCCGGAUUUAUUGGGCGUAAAAGCGCGUGUAGGCGGCCAGGUAGGUCGGUUGUGAAAAUUGGAGGCUCAACCUCCAGACGUCGAUCGAAACCAUCUGGCUAGAGUCCGGAAGAGGAGAAUGGAAUUCCUGGUGUAGCGGUGAAAUGCGCAGAUAUCAGGAAGAACACCGAUGGCGAAGGC
rnacentral:rRNA from 1 species